CUGCGCUGCUACCUGCAGUCGACGCGAAAGCCCCGCAAGGGGUAAGUAGAGUGGCAAACGGGUGAGUAACACGUAGGUGACCUGCCUCAGAGUGGGGGAUAACGACCCGAAAGGGUCGCUAAUACCGCAUAACAUCCCGCGUUUGGAAACGUGGAAAUCAAAGCCGGGGAUCGCAAGACCUGGCGCUCAGAGAGGGGCCUGCGGCCGAUUAGCUAGUUGGUAGGGUAAUGGCCUACCAAGGCAACGAUCGGUAUCCGGCCUGAGAGGGCGGACGGACACACUGGGACUGAGACACGGCCCAGACUCCUACGGGAGGCAGCAGUGGGGAAUUGUUCGCAAUGGGCGCAAGCCUGACGACGCAACGCCGCGUGGAGGAUGAAGAUCUUCGGGUCGUAAACUCCUUUCGAUCGGGAAGAACGUUUCCGGGGUGAAUAAUCCCGGGAAGUGACGGUACCGAGAGAAGAAGCCCCGGCUAACUCUGUGCCAGCAGCCGCGGUAAUACAGGGGGGGCAAGCGUUGUUCGGAAUUACUGGGCGUAAAGGGCCAGUAGGCGGCCAACUAAGUCACACGUGAAAUCCCCAGGCUUAACCUGGGAACUGCGUGUGAUACUGGAUGGCUUGAAUUCGGGAGAGGGAUGCAGAAUUCCAGGUGUAGCGGUGAAAUGCGUAGAUAUCUGGAGGAAUACCGGUGGCGAAGGCGGCAUCCUGGACCGACAUUGACGCUGAACGGCGAAAGCUAGGGGAGCAAACGGGAUUAGAUACCCCGGUAGUCCUAGCCCUAAACGAUGAAUGCUUGGUGUGACGGGUAUCGAUCCCUGCCGUGCCGAAGCUAACGCAUUAAGCAUUCCGCC
rnacentral:rRNA from 1 species